UCCUGAGGUCCUCUUCAGUCCGCAUAAGUCUUUCGCCUUUUACUAAAGACUUCCGUGGAGAGUGACAUUAAUGAGCAUAAGCAAUUUUUGCCAGGCUACCCUCCUUGAACCG